GUCGGGGUAGAGAAGCUCGGCCAUCUCGCUGUCCUCAUAAGUCAGAGACCGUGGGUUCGAAUCCCACCCCCGCCA
rnacentral:tRNA from 1 species